CUACAAAGAAAUAAAAGAAAUAAACUACNGCCCUCUCUCUUGGCAGGAGCCCCUCGCAAUGACGUGGGGACACGUGAUGCAGCUGCCAUGGUGCGGUUCGACGAGCUGGUUCGUCUGGUCGAGCCCUGGGGAAAAUGGAGCACCACAGACNCCUCUCUGUGCUGCCUUGGCCCUCGUGGCCUGCUGCGGGUGGGAAGAUUCCUCCGCAGGGACCAGAUGGCCGCCUCGUGUCCGGAUCCCGCCCCCUCCAGAACACAGAAGACGGGCUUCCCUUGUUGGUCCCGCAAAAUGCCGCGCCUGCUUCCGUCCACGCGCCACCGUCUCCCNCUUCUGGCUUGUGGAGAAUAAGAAGCCCCCGGCUGCUGGGCCGGGCUGCAAGGAGGCCAAUUCAGCCGCCCUUCGGGGCUCAGCGUGGCAAACCAGAUGUGGGGAUGCAAAGGCCGCAGAGCAGCCACGAACGCGCCCACUUCCUCCGUACUCACGCUCCCAGCAGCAGGGCUGGGGCAGCCGUAUCUGUCUUCCCUGCUAGGGGCAGGGGGCCUUUUUCUUCCAGGGCAAAAGGAAAGACGGGGUGCCCUCAGGCAGGCUCCGCUCCUGGCAAAGACUCGGAAGGGCUUGCCUUUCCCUUCUGCGAAGUCACGGGGGAUUAAACCCGGGCCCUUCCGGGUGCAGGUCUGGCUAAGGGAAGCCAUUCAGCCAAACCUGACAGGCUUCCGUUUUGGCCCAGANCUACGCCUGCAUGACAAUAUCUUCCUGGUUUUGAAAUUAGGGAGGAGUUUUUAUGCUUUCGGCUUUUCUUCACUUUACUGUUUUUUUGCCUCUUACGCACUCCAUGACCUUAGACUGAAGGAAAGGUUAUACAUUUAAGUUUUAUUUGAUUUAUAUUUGUAUCCCACCCUAUCACUUCAUCAUGUUCAGGACAACUGAUGAAGUUAAAGCAUAUAGAACAAGGUUGAAAUAUGACAUUAAAUAUGACAAGUAAAUAUGACAAGUAAAAAAGUUACGGUGUGUGUAUAUGUAUUAAGGCUGUGAUCAGACACACACGCAAAAACCCAUCUCUGAGGUGCCUCAAAGGCGGCUUNGAGGUGGGAUUGUUCACACACCAGUCUGCCCCUCCCCUUUCUUAUGAACGUUCUGUGCUAGAAAAGUGGAUUAGAGAAGGCUUGGGAACACAAGGGCCACACAGUGUCCCUAUGAAGCGCCUCCAGGUCACCUCUUUUGUUAUGUCUGAACACAGCCUAAAACUCAAAAGGACUGUCCAGAGGAGAAUGCCAGUGUGGACAGAAACUUUUGCAGCUGGUUCCUAAAAUGUGCUCCUGCUUGUAUAUCAAAUAGCUGGUGCCACGAAGAGAAGGCUGUCUGGCCAGCACUUGCCCCAUAACAUCAUGCCGAAUAAAUAAANAAGAUCUGGAGGUCA
rnacentral:lncRNA from 1 species